UAGAUUUUCAUGAAUAUCAGAUUAUUCAUUAACUUUACAUUUACUUAUCUAGAAUUAAGAACAAAGAAUUGUAUGAUGCACUCAUGUUUUGGUUUUAAAAGUGUUACUGGAUUUCAGAAUUUUUCAAAGAUUUAAUAAAGCUAGAAUUUUCAGAAAAUAUGUAGAAAUGGAAAAAGUAUAUUUAUUCGCAAAUUAUCCACUCACUAAGCUAUAAGCUCAUAUGUCUUUUCACCUUUUUCCUUAUCAGAUAGCAGCUGAAUUGAGCAGCUUUGGAGCCUAUUGUUCCGCCAUAUUGAGUCACCCAUCAUAGGUUGUAUGGCCUACUUUACCAGACUAUGUAGUAUAUGUUUCUUUGAGUUAUAUGUAGUUUAUGUCAGAAAAGGUUAUCAUGGGUUCACUGCAUAUUUGGCGUCUUUAGUAUAUUUGGGAAAUGUUGGUUGCAGAGAAAGGAAAUGUUGAUUUGCCGACAUUUUAUUUGAAUAGUUUGUAUUUUGAGGGAUUAGCGUAUUCUAUUUAUAUUAUAGGUAUUGAUUUGAGAAAAAUUAGUUGUUGUUCAGUGGUUUUAGUUCAUAUUUCAAGGGAA
rnacentral:lncRNA from 1 species